rnacentral:lncRNA from 1 species
AGUGCAUUUUCCUGGAGUGAUUCACUCUUCUCUUCACUCUCUCUCUCUCUCCACCUCCCUCUCUUUACUCUCAAAAACACCUCACGCCCUCCGUUCCUUCCUUGCCGCCACGUUUGGGAUGGGAAACCCGAACCGCAGUUGUCACGUCGGGACGCGAGCAUCCAAAAGCUCCAGCAAGACCUGCUCCUUUCUCAUCAGGCCCAGGAGCGUUCAGGAUGAGCAGAUACAGCGGCUGGAAGAGGAAGUGUCCAGGCUGAAAUCAUGUCAGCAAAGUUCAGUCAAUCCGCAGGAUGUGCGAGGUCUCUGGAGAGCACAAGAAGAGCUGACGGUGCGAGAGAAAGAGUGGCAGAAAGAGAGAUCUUUUCUUCUGGAGCAGCUUAACAGCCUUAGAAAGGAGCUCCACAGCGCCACCAUCAGGGUACUGCUGCUGAAUCUUUUGCAAUACAUGUUCAAUAAAGUGUGUUUGUGUUGUCCUUGAAAUGGGGGUUUUUCAGUACUGGGUUGCAGCUGGAAUGGCAUCCACUGCGUAAAACAUAUGCUGAAAUAGUUGGCAGUUCAAAUGCAUUACCUCUUGCUCACAUAGCAGCAUUAACUAGUCGUCUGUAAUUUAAUGCCAAGGUGAUAAAACACAAAAUAUU